AGUCUUAAAGUUUGUUAUUGACUCUUUUCCGCGAUGUUAAUUGGUUAACGCUGCACUAAUUGCAUAUUUUGACAGUUGUAUGUAUUGAGGUUAAUGUAAUAUAUUACAUUAGCAAGGUAUAGUAAAAAAUUACAUUGGUUGUGAGCAUAAUAUAAAAAAACAUUUUUUUUGUCCCUUGCAUCAUUGCUGAAAAGUAGCUUACGAAAAAUGGAGCACAUAUUGUAGCGAUAUUGAAAUUAUUGAAACCCCAGAAAAAAAUGUCCAUCGCAUCCGUUAUUAUCAAGGACAACACAAUCCAUCCGAUUAUUAUUCGUAUUAUCCAAUUAUGCAAUCGUUGAUAUUCUUUUGGUGUCCCGAGUGCUUCCAAUGUAUCGUCCACUAUUGAAAGUUUGUGCAUGCAUAUUUUUAAAUCCUUUAAAAAAAUCAUGUUGACCAUUUACACGAUAUAAACAGCAAUUAUUGGAAUUUUGUAUUUUAAUAAAAAUGAUUUUUAUUGAUA